rnacentral:rRNA from 1 species
AACGAACGCUGGCGGCAUGCCUAACACAUGCAAGUCGAACGAGACCUUCGGGUCUAGUGGCGCACGGGUGCGUAACGCGUGGGAAUCUGCCCUUGGGUUCGGAACAACGGUUGGAAACGACUGCUAAUACCGGAUGAUGACUUCGGUCCAAAGAUUUAUCGCCCAGGGAUGAGCCCGCGUAGGAUUAGCUUGUUGGUGAGGUAAAAGCUCACCAAGGCGACGAUCCUUAGCUGGUCUGAGAGGAUGAUCAGCCACACUGGGACUGAGACACGGCCCAGACUCCUACGGGAGGCAGCAGUGGGGAAUAUUGGACAAUGGGCGAAAGCCUGGUCCAGCAAUGCCGCGUGAGUGAUGAAGGCCUUAGGGUUGUAAAGCUCUUUUACCCGGGAUGAUAAUGACAGUACCGGGAGAAUAAGCCCCGGCUAACUCCGUGCCAGCAGCCGCGGUAAUAC